UAGCUCAGUUGGUAGAGCAUGGUGUGUGCAACGCCAGGGUUGUGGGUUCGAUUCCCAU
rnacentral:tRNA from 1 species